rnacentral:lncRNA from 1 species
CGGGGCGACGGGUGCCCUCCCUCCCCCCGGGAGGCUGGGACCCCGGGACCCUGAACCUCAUCCAGGGGACUCCUCUUGGGAGCUGGGUUAUUUGGGUGUGUGCUUUGUUUUUUUUUUCCCCCUUCUUUUUUUAGGUGAAAGAAAAAUGUGCUUAGGAGAGGAUUUCAUGACUCGCCUGAGCCAGCGCAAUUCAUUUCGAGGUGACCAUUUAUUCCUGGCUCACAAGUUCGCAAGUCUUGUGAAAAACAAUCCCAUCGCACCGAGGAUACUCCAGGAUGGAGCGGAGGGCGAGAGUGCAGUCGUGUUAGUGAGAAAGAGCCCACCCGAUAUGCUCCUAUUGCACUUCUAUUGAAGAAUAAAAGGCUGCGGUCUCUCCAGACGAGAACUUGUCAGAUAUUUUAAAGUCUGGCUUUCAGUCCUUUCUGGUGAAUGCUCUGGUGGGUGUCCGCCGAUGCCUUAGAAGUGGAGUUAAGAGUUGUGAGCUGCCGUUUUUUGGUUCUGGGACUCGAACUCGUUUCCUCUGAUACUAUCAACCACCAAGCCAUCUCUUCAGCCCCAGCUACAUAAGACUUCAGGAGAACCAGAGAGAUGGUGCCAGGCCUGCCAACCUGAGUUCAAUAGCAGAACCCACACAGUAGCAAAAGAACCAACUCUGACCUCCCCUCUCCCCCUCCCCUCUCCUUCCCCUCUCCAGUAGUCACUCCAGAGACACCCAAAAUAAAAAAUUUAAAUGUAAAAAA